CGGCUCCCUCAACGAGUGAAACCGUGAAUUGUUGUCGGCUGGUAGGGAAUGCUGCCUAGUGCCUCUUUAAGUUGGUUCAGGUGUUCUGCCUUGAAUAAAAGAAAAAUAAGCCGUCACUCACAGCUAACCCGCUCCUGGAAUUCUCCAGACUUUAGUCUUCAGUAUAAACAGCCCACAAAAAA